AUGGGUGGUCGGUGUUUUUUCUUGUAAUAUGGCUUUAAUGUAGAUAACUUCUCAAGUCUCUCUCUCUGCCUUACCUGAGUCUCUUAAAUAUCAAAAGGAAAUGGAUUGGUUUCUUCUUGGUCUUCCCUUUCUUUAUUGCCAUGUCUAUUGCUUUGGCCCCUCCAAAUGGUAUAUACGUCAGAGCCACUGAUCGGAUUCAAUAGCAAAUAUAAGUGUAGGGUGAUGAACUUGUCUGCUUAUGCUUACCACUAUGGUUCAGUUUCCCAUCCCUUUCCUAUGAGGACUUUUCUUAAUGGGCAUGAUUGGUGUGGAUGUCCCCACCACCAGCCUCCCCUC
rnacentral:lncRNA from 1 species